rnacentral:rRNA from 1 species
GACGAACGCUGGCGGCGUGCUUAACACAUGCAAGUCGAGCGGAGCGGCGAACGGGUGAGUAACGCGUGAGUAACUGCCCCCCUCUCUGGGAUAACAGUUGGAAACGGCUGCUAAUACCGGAUAGUGGGGGAUGACUCGCGUCCUAUCAGCUUGUUGGUGGGGUAGUGGCCGACCAGAGCGACGACGGGUAGCCGGCCUGAGAGGGCGACCGGCCAAAUUGGGCUGAGAUACGGCCCAAAGUCCUACGGGAGGCAGUAGUGUGGAAGAUUGCACAAUGGGGGAAACCCUGAGGCAGCAACGCGCGUGCGUGAUGUCGGCCUUCGGGUUGUAAACCGCUUUCAGCCAUGACGCGGUAGUGGCAGAAGAAGCACCGGCUAACUACGUGCCAGCAGCCGCGGUAAUUC